UGGGUUGUGGCUCAGUGGUAGAGCACCUGCCUAGCAUGUAAGGCACUGAGUUUGAUUCUCAGCACUGCAU
rnacentral:tRNA from 1 species